CAAACAUUCUGGCACCCACUGCUCAAUUCCGCCACCACCAAAAGCCCUAGAAUCGGCACAGCGCCACGAUGAACCAAGUAAUUACAUGUAACGAACACAUAAAUUACUGCCAAAUGAUGGAAUAUGAAGACGAAAUCAUGUGGUGAAAACAAUAUACAAUGAAGAAGAUCCAACAAGAAAUAAGCUAUGCUGUAUUCCAGAACUAGGGUUUGGAAUUUCGUAUUGGGAGCCGCGAAAUCGGUCGUAUUUGGAGCUUGGAGGAUUGCAAUUAUAGCCAUGAUUACGACGGGACUGCCAUGGGCGAGUGAUAUGAAGCAACUUGAAGCUUCUAG
rnacentral:misc_RNA from 1 species